AGGACCUUUGUCACUCCUGGUCUGAAGCAAUGGGAACUUGUUGUGCACUUUUUCAGACUUUCUCUUCCUUUUCAGCAGUGUCUUGAAAGAGUCCACUUUUUGAGCUGACAGAGCCACAAGAUUGAAGCACUCUGAAUUCCUGCUGCUUGAGUGAAGAUUUCUUAUGCUUUGAUUUACUUCAUCUUCUCCUGCAACUCCAAUGUCACAUUUAGGAAAGGAGAAAUGCAUAUUAGAGGCAUAAAAAUAGAAAUGUCUCCUCGGGUAGAUACCACCUGCUCUAUGUGGAGUCUCUCCUUUUCUCUUCAAUUUUAGCAAAGUACGUUUGACAAGAGUUUUCUGUCUGCGGAAUGCUGUCAAUGAAAGAAGAGGAUCUGCUUUAUUCUAGGGAAAUGCUAUUAGUCAUGAUAGUCAGAGAUCAGCAACAGUGUAACAAGGUAACGCAGGAUAAUCAGAUCAUGCCUGUGGACUAGCAGAUGGGAUUAAAGAAUCAAUCAUUGGCUCUUUGAGAAUUUUAUGGCUCUCCGUAAAAUAAUUUAAAUGUGCAGAGGUAUAGAUUUUUUGUUUGAAAGUGCUUAUAUGUAUAGCAAACUGAACUCUACAUACAUACAUAUAAACAUAAUUAAUAACUUAAGACUAGUUUGAUGACACAGAAAACUAUUGUCAUGUUGUGACCUUGGUCAAAAUAUAUUGGCUUCAAUUUGCCUCGGCUGUGGGAACAUAGAUUAUUAAAGGGCUGUUUUCCUUGGAACUGUGGCUCUGGCAGAAGAUGACUGUUGACUACAAAGUUAGACAAACUAAAUAACUGAGAUUUGCAUUUUAAGAAGUAUUUCAAAGUUUUAUAAGAUGGCUAGCUCAAUAUAACUGGAACCUAUGUGUGGUAUAUUCACAAAAUGUUCAUGCCUCUUGAAUGGAUUUGCAGGCCAAUCAUCUCAAGUAACUUUACUUUUAACUGACUGUUUUUCUCGGGGGAAACAGAAUAUAAUUAAAAUGUGGUGCUCCCUGUGUUUGACAAAAUAGACAAGGCGACUUGUGAGUUUGUUAUUUUAAUUAGUGAAUAUAUUUUUAUAUAUUUCUGCAGUGUUACUGUACAUGUGUGUCAUGUAGGUAAAUGAAUAGGCACUUGGAACACUGUGAAUGUACUUAACAAGUGGAUACAUAUUCUCUAAAUUGAGACACGUUUGUAAAAAUAAUCGCUAUGGUCUGAAUGUUUGUGUUCCCCCAAAUCCAUAUGUUAAAAUCCUAAACCCUAAGAGGGUGGUGUUAAGAGGUGGAAACUUUUGGAGACGCUUAGGCCUUGCGGGUGGAAUCCUCGUGAAUGGAUCAGUGUUCAUCUAAACGAGACCCCGCAGAACUCCCUAAUCCCUUCGACCACUGAGGACGCAGUGAGUAGGUGCCAGCUGUGAGCCAGGAGGAAGAUCUUCACCAGAACAUGACCAUGCUGAUGGCUUGACCUCAGACUUCUCGCCCCCAGAACCGUGAGAAAGAAACUUCUGUUGUUUAUGAGCUACCCAGUCUAUGCUAUUUCUUUACAGCAGUCCGAAUGGACUAGGAAAAUAACAUUUUACAGAACUCCGUGAACAUCUUUCUUCCCAAAACAAGGUCUGGACACAGAACUCAUGAAAAUUAAUCUUCUGCCUUUUAAUAAUGUUCUCGAGAUUCCAUCUUCCUCUUGGAACAGUCUUGGGUUGAUGAAAUACGAAAAGGAUUUCAAGUUAGCCUUACGUUCCUCUCCACUAAAAAAGGGCUCACUUCCAAGAUGGAAGCACUGUUGUAGAAUGAAUUAUUGGUCUCAAUUCUUUACUCCUCCCUGCAUCCAUGUCCUUUGCUAUGUAAACUUGCAGUUGACUCCACAACAGUAGAUUAUAUUUCUCUAUACUUUGAAUUAGGAUACUUCCACAUAACCUGCUUUGGUCAAUGGCAAACUAGUGUAUGGGACACAAGCAGGGAUUUUUAAAUGUAUCACCAUGAGGGGGUACUUCCUUUUGUGCCUCUUCAAUCACUUGGAAAAAAACCAUGCCUUUCCUGGGCGGCUGGUCUAAGGAGGGAGAGAGGCGUGCAGACAGAUGCAAACUCUCAGAUCUGCAGUGUUCAGUGUGCAGCUGUGACAGCUGGCACAGAGCCAGCCAGUCUACCCAGGAGAAUAAGUGUUGCAUUGUUUUAAACCAUGGACUGGUAGGGUCGUUUUGUCAUGCAGCAUUAUUGCAGUGAUCAAUGCUUGAUAAAUUCAGGGAUGCCACAGUUUUUAAGAAUUUAACACCGGGCCACUUAUCUGGGAUAAGUUGGAAAUUCCUAAGAUGUCAGAGAAUUUACUGUCAUUUCUUAGUACUGUAUUUUCAUGUAUGAACCUACAGGGCACUAUUUUAAAAGGUCAUGUUCUUUUUAUUAUUUUUGCUUAUAAGUGCCAACAUCUACUUCCUGUUAUUUUGACAUGGAUUCUUUUCUGCCUUGAUACUUGAGACCUGCAAAUCUCCAACUUUUAAAGUGCCUAAUAGGACUUUAAAAAACUCCCAUAAACUUUUGAAAUAUCUGGAUUUCAUUACCCGUCCUUUGACUUAAGAUAUCCAUCUCAUUCCUUUAGUCUUAUAUUACUAGAUACUAGCUAAACUUGAAUCUACCCAUUGCCCUGCUAUGACAUAAAGGCAACAUAUAGGUCUAGUACUAGUACUAUAAUUUCUUACAUUCCUUAAAAUUGAAACCCUUCAAAUUAUCAGGUGGAUACCUGGCCAUAUCACCUGGUGAUUUUUGAAUAUCUAUAUUUCUUUUCAUUUUUAUCCAGAUCUCAUCAUACAUACUGCAGUAGAUAAUCUGUUGCUUAUAAGGCAUUUCUGGUCUAGGUCUUAGUAUACAAUCUAAGAUGUUAUAUAGUUCAAAUGUUUAUAAGUCAUAAAGGUGGCUCUAGGAUGAUUAAAAAAUAAAACUGCUAAAAUAACCUUAUAAUUUUAACAUUAGAAGAAGUGUAGAUAAAGUGGGUCCAAGAAGAGAAAAAAGGGACUACAGUGAUCAAAGUCAGAAGAGCAAUGCUUGUCAUCUGCCUUCCAGAUUUACGAUGGCACACCUUAUGACUAACUCGUGGGUUUACGUGGGAUUUUGUUGUGAGAAUCGCUGUAAGAUGUAUAACGUGAGCAAAUGAAAAAGCAGAAGGCCAUCCAAACACAUUUGAGCUAUAGUCCUUUCGUGAAAGGUGGCUUGUUUACAAAUUUUUGAUUCUUGUCAGGGAAAUCCUGGCAGCAAGAAUCCAAAAACACUAUAAAUUUAUUUCACUUUACACAAGGCUUUUCUUUAACAAAACAUGAUAUAUAACUAUACAACUUUAUUUUGCGGUAUAACUUUAAAUAAUUUCAAUCAAAUAUAGGUAUAUUUCAAUAAUUCCAGUAUAUAAACUUUGUGUGUUUGCACAUUUUUAAUCAUCAGAGGCAGUUUCUAAAAUCAUUAUAUAGUGUAUUUAAAAACCGUACAUUGAACAUGUGCAGUUACUUUGAGAAUUCAGAGAAAUAUGGGUCACCUUAAGGCCAUGCGUGUUACAGAGCCAGUCAUUACUUUAAGCUCUAACUAAACACCAUUAUGAGUUUGUUUGGGAUCUUUUGUUUCUCUAA